AGUGAUGGAUGCUAAUUUCAUUUUAUUUCGUUCAAAUAAAUACAGCAGUUGGUCUUUCGAUAUCAGUCCAACACUGCAAUUAGCUCUGACAUUGGUUUUG
rnacentral:ribozyme from 1 species